GCCACAACCGGAAAUAGCUAACGAGACCAGCACCCAUUUCCGCAGCCUCAGGUUGGGAAGGGAUGGUGGUGAGAGCUGAGAAGUAGCGGGCGCCCCCUUCAGACUGCAGCCAGGAUAGCAUUCGCGGAAGGAGAUCUUCCUCUGAAUGUGGAUAAUGUUCUUUCUCAUAAGACCCUCAGAAUUGUCCUGGAUCAUUGCAUUGCUGCUAGUAGAGAAGUCCAUUACAUUCGAUUGUACCACAUUGUAUUGGUCUCUGUGUACAAUGUUCAAGGAGCGCAAUUAUGUUAAAAUACAGUCAGCAAAAUGUCAUCAUUGCUAGUCUGCUGGUUCUGGAGAAGAAAAUGACAUGAAGGAUGUAACCCUUGGAUUCAUCUUCCAAGUGACCUGCCUAUAUUACAGCUUCUUGCACUAAAAUAUGUUUUUCCAUGGAUUUAUUACUGCUGGAAUCCUCCCCCCCACCCCCCACAAAA